rnacentral:rRNA from 1 species
GUUGUAUGGUUAAGUGACUAAGCGUACACGGUGGAUGCCUUGGCAGUCAGAGGCGAUGAAAGACGUAGUAACUUGCGAUAAGCCCAGAUUAGGUAGUAACAACCAUUUGAGUCUGGGAUUUCUGAAUGGGGAAACCCACGUGCAUAAGCACGUAUCCUUACCUGAAUACAUAGGGUAAGGAGGCGAACCGGGGGAACUGAAACAUCUAAGUACCCCGAGGAAAAGAAAUCAACCGAGAUUCCGAAAGUAGCGGCGAGCGAAAUUGGACUAGCCCUUAAGCUUUACACGCGUUAGACGAACGGUCUGGAAAGUCCGACGAUACAGGGUGAUAGUCCCGUAGUUGACGACGUGUGUUCAGUGAAAUCGAGUAGGGCGGGACACGUGAUAUCCUGUCUGAAUAUGGGGGGACCAUCCUCCAAGGCUAAAUACUACUGACUGACCGAUAGUGAACCAGUACCGUGAGGGAAAGGCGAAAAGAACCCCUGUGAGGGGAGUGAAAUAGAACCUGAAACCGUGUACGUACAAGCAGUAGGAGCAGGCUUUGUCCUGUGACUGCGUACCUUUUGUAUAAUGGGUCAGCGACUUAUAUUCAGUGGCAAGGUUAACCAUCUAGGGGAGCCGUAGGGAAACCGAGUCUUAACUGGGCGUUCAGUCUCUGGAUAUAGACCCGAAACCAGGUGAUCUAGCCAUGGGCAGGUUGAAGGUUGAGUAACAUCAACUGGAGGACCGAACCGACUAAUGUUGAAAAAUUAGCGGAUGACUUGUGGCUAGGGGUGAAAGGCCAAUCAAACCUGGAGAUAGCUGGUUCUCCCCGAAAGCUAUUUAGGUAGCGCCUCGGACGAAUACUACUGGGGGUAGAGCACUGUUAAGGCUAGGGGGUCAUCCCGACUUACCAACCCUUUGCAAACUCCGAAUACCAGUAAGUACUAUCCGGGAGACACACGGCGGGUGCUAACGUCCGUCGUGGAGAGGGAAACAACCCAGACCGCCAGCUAAGGUCCCAAAUUACUACUAAGUGGGAAACGAUGUGGGAAGGCUCAGACAGCCAGGAUGUUGGCUUAGAAGCAGCCAUCAUUUAAAGAAAGCGUAAUAGCUCACUGGUCGAGUCGGCCUGCGCGGAAGAUGUAACGGGGCUAAGUAGUAAACCGAAGCUGCGGCAAUAUACUUUUGUAUAUUGGGUAGGGGAGCGUUCUGUAAGCGGUUGAAGGUGUGUGGUAACGCAUGCUGGACGUAUCAGAAGUGCGAAUGCUGACAUGAGUAACGAUAAAGGGGGUGAAAAACCUCCUCGCCGGAAGACCAAGGGUUCCUGUCCAACGUUAAUCGGGGCAGGGUAAGUCGACCCCUAAGGCGAGGCCGAAAGGCGUAGUCGAUGGGAAACGGGUUAAUAUUCCCGUACUUCUUACAAUUGCGAUGGGGGGACGGAGAAGGCUAGGUGGGCCUGGCGACGGUUGUCCAGGUUCAAGUGCGUAGGCUUAAGAGUUAGGUAAAUCCGGCUCUUUUUAAGGCUGAGACACGACGUCGAGCACCUACGGGUGUGAAGUCAUUGAUGCCAUGCUUCCAGGAAAAGCCUCUAAGCUUCAGAUUGUAAGGAAUCGUACCCCAAACCGACACAGGUGGUCGGGUAGAGAAUACCAAGGCGCUUGAGAGAACUCGGGUGAAGGAACUAGGCAAAAUGGUACCGUAACUUCGGGAGAAGGUACGCUCUUGAUGGUGAAGUCCCUCGCGGAUGGAGCUGACGAGAGUCGCAGAUACCAGGUGGCUGCAACUGUUUAUUAAAAACACAGCACUGUGCAAAAUCGUAAGAUGACGUAUACGGUGUGACGCCUGCCCGGUGCCGGAAGGUUAAUUGAUGGGGUUAGACUUCGGUCGAAGCUCUUGAUCGAAGCCCCGGUAAACGGCGGCCGUAACUAUAACGGUCCUAAGGUAGCGAAAUUCCUUGUCGGGUAAGUUCCGACCUGCACGAAUGGCGUAAUGAUGGCCACGCUGUCUCCACCCGAGACUCAGUGAAAUUGAAAUCGCUGUGAAGAUGCAGUGUACCCGCGGCUAGACGGAAAGACCCCGUGAACCUUUACUACAGCUUGGCACUGAACAUUGACCCUACAUGUGUAGGAUAGGUGGGAGGCUUUGAAGCACGUACGCCAGUAUGUGUGGAGCCGUCCUUGAAAUACCACCCUUGUAGUGUUGAUGUUCUAACGUCGACCCCUUAUCGGGGUUGCGGACAGUGCCUGGUGGGUAGUUUGACUGGGGCGGUCUCCUCCCAAAGAGUAACGGAGGAGCACGAAGGUGGGCUAAUCACGGUUGGACAUCGUGAGGUUAGUGCAAUGGCAUAAGCCCGCUUGACUGCGAGAAUGACAAUUCGAGCAGGUGCGAAAGCAGGUCAUAGUGAUCCGGUGGUUCUGAAUGGAAGGGCCAUCGCUCAACGGAUAAAAGGUACUCCGGGGAUAACAGGCUGAUACCGCCCAAGAGUUCAUAUCGACGGCGGUGUUUGGCACCUCGAUGUCGGCUCAUCACAUCCUGGGGCUGAAGUCGGUCCCAAGGGUAUGGCUGUUCGCCAUUUAAAGUGGUACGCGAGCUGGGUUUAGAACGUCGUGAGACAGUUCGGUCCCUAUCUGCCGUGGGCG